rnacentral:rRNA from 1 species
UACGUAGGGGGCGAGCGUUGUCCGGAAUCAUUGGGCGUAAAGCGCGUGUAGGCGGCCCGGUAAGUCCGCUGUGAAAGUCCAGGGCUCAACCCUGGGAUGCCGGUGGAUACUGUCGGGCUCGAGUCCGGAAGAGGCGAGUGGAAUUCCAGGUGUAGCGGUGAAAUGCGUAGAUAUCUGGAGGAAUACCGGUGGCGAAGGCGGCAUCCUGGACCGACAUUGACGCUGAGGAGCGAAAGCUAGGGGAGCAAACGGG